AUUAGCUGCAGAAUAUGACUAACAACAUUACUAAGUAAUAAUUGCUUCAAUAUUUUGUAGUUAAGAGCGCUAUGGAGCAAGAACAACAAAUGCGGCCACCAAAGAUGAUGGGAUGCUUUUGUGAAGGAAUUUGUUUUGUUUUGUGACCAGGACAAUAUCUAUGGGUAAACAUAACACCGAUAUUAGUUGUUGUUGGUGUUGUUGUUUUAGAUUUAGACAGCUUAAAGAAAGAUUUUCCUCGUAGCUAGUGGUUUGACAAAUUCGAUUUCCACCAUCUUCACUCGCGUCCACAGAGAAAAAGUAUUCAAACUGUUAAAUUUGUAGCAAUUAAAUUAUACUUGCAAACAUCAUCGUGUUAUCUCAUAGUGCCGGAGUAAUAACAUGCCUGUUCAUGAAUUUAGAGUGCUAAUGACCUGGUCAGAAUGUGCCAACGGCGUGGAGCGUGCUUUAAACAAGUUGGGCGACAAGUGGAGUUGAGCGAGACAAUGAUGGCAACGAGCGAUAUGUGUACAAUUAGCGCCAAAGUGUUUCCUCUUUUUUAUUGGUAUCAGUGUGUAUUAUAAAAACAUUAAUUGGGCUUACAAAUUAAUGUACAUACGUCCAAGACAAAUUAUUUGCAAGUAUUACAAAUGUGAAAAUUAGUAUGCCUUAUGCGUGUGUAAAAUACUUGUACGGAAUUGUACAAAGUUGUUAGCCAAGGCUUGUUUUUUAAGUCUUUUGUAAUUAUUAUUACUAGAGUUCCAGUUACUGUCGAAAUUCGACAGUUUUUCU